rnacentral:tRNA from 2 species
GCCCAGGUGGCGGAAUUGGUAGACGCGCUGGUUUCAGGUACCAGUGAUGCAAGUCGUGGAGGUUCGAGUCCUCUCCUGGGCACCA